UGCCUUUAAGGGGAGACGACCUGUGUUCACUAAUAAUAAAAAGUUUGUUUUAAUUAAUUUGGCCAUGAUUUGGGUUGAUGGUCUUUGUCCUUGAGUCUGUGGGAUCAACAUUUGGAGGCCCCCAGCAAGAUUAAAAACCCCAACCUAAAUUUAGAAGUCAGACCUUUCCCUCCUGUCCUCCAGGAUUGAACUUCUUUCUAGGUGUUGUGCAACUUGGAGACAUUCCAAGGCCCCAGAGUAUGACUUCUGUGUGGUAGACUGCCUGGGCAAACAGCAGCAUCCUCUGACUUGAAGAUACUUCUCAUCAAUUGCUAUAUCCCAGUCACCAACUCAGAUGAAGACUCACUGCUCUACCAGAGACCACAAUGGUCACAAGAAAUCCAGACUGUCAUCAGAACCCAAUUGUCAUCAGAGAGACUUCCACCUGCAGCUGAUAAGAGCAGAUACAGAGACCCGUAGCCAAACAUUAGGUGGAGAGAGGGCCCACAUUGGAAAUCUCUAUUGAGUUCCUCACCUUGGAGCUCAGGGAACCCAGCAGAAAAGGGAGAAGAAGAAUUACAGGAGCCAGAGGGGUUGAAACACCAGAACAAAGGCUCACAGACUCAACUAAGCACGACUCAAAGAGCCUCACAGAGACUGAAGAGGUAUUAUGAACUCGAUGAAUUCUCUCAUUCACCUUCACUUCAUUACCUAAUUCCAAGAGAGAUGAUACUUCUAAAGAGGGCUGACACGGAGACGAGGGCCGGCAGAGAGUC